rnacentral:rRNA from 1 species
GAAACUGAAAUAGACAAGUUCAUGCCUGCCUCACGCAGGGGAAACAGAAAUACCUACUGCCGUUCUCUCAGAGCGUUCUCCGAUGAAGAUAUCAGAUCGGCGGAAAGUAUCGAGUCACUACAAAGACUCUUCGGCAGCAGGUACAUGAAAGUAAACCUUGAAGCUUAUUCACGUCACAGGACAGUGGAGUUCAGACAACACUCGGGAACGAUCAAUUUCACAAAAAUAGAGAAUUGGGUUAGAUUCUUGGGAAGAUUGAUUAUCUUUGCAUCUACAUCUUCGCUUCCUGCGGGAAUCAGACUGGAGGAUUUUCCUUUCUUGGAGGAAAAACAAAAAUUAUAUUAUAAAUUAAGAACAAAAAAAUUAAUGGAAUGAAUAUGAAUAAGAAGAUGUAUAUAUUGCCGGGGGAUGAGCGCAUAGCAGCCUCCGAUGCCAAAGAGUUUGUACAUGAACUUCGGACGGGCAGUUGGAUGGAUUCCAACUGCACAGAUGAACAGUACAUGUGCAAUUUUGCCGAACGUUACGUGAUUCAGGCAGGUGUGAGGAUUGCCACUGAUACACCGGAGAAUUUCCUUGCCGAUUUGAUUCGGACAGGAUACGCCAAAGAGAUGUAACGCAGGCUAUUUCCUUUAUUAUUACACCUCCCCGUUUUUCCUUUCAAGGGAAGACGGGGAUUUUCUAUUCAUACAAGUAAUCAUUAACAGAUACUUUAAAUAUUUAUUUACUUUAGUGUUUUUAUAAGUAUUUUACUUAGAAAGUAAAAUACACUUUUCAAUAUUUACUGCCUCUAUAUGCAAAUAAUAAUUAUUUGCAUGUUUUUAUUG